rnacentral:rRNA from 1 species
UACGAAGGGGGCUAGCGUUGUCCGGAUUUAUUGGGCGUAAAGCGCGCGUAGGCGGGCUUGUAAGUCGGGGGUGAAAGCCCGAGGCUCAACCUCGGAACUGCCUUCGAUACUGCGGGUCUCGAGUCCGGGAGAGGUGAGUGGAAUUCCUAGUGUAGAGGUGAAAUUCGUAGAUAUUAGGAAGAACACCAGUGGCGAAGGCGGCUCACUGGCCCGGUACUGACGCUGAGGCGCGAAAGCGUGGGGAGCAAACAGG